GUCUCUAGAGGGAGGAACAUUUGAGCUCCCUUGAUGAAUUUUGCAUGCCAUGAGUGAUGAGCUAUUUGCAUUCAUCUCUCGUAUACUUAUGUUAUCUACAACUUUCCUCGUUAGUCUUUCAAAACUAAUGUUGAUUGUAUUUGGUUGGAGAAAUAAUGUUAGGCCAUCUUUUGGCAUUGAAAGCCCACUCCAGCCUUUAAAGCCUACCCGUGCAUAAAAGUAAUCUCUAGUUACCCAUUUUUCACCUUUGGACUUUUCUUUGGCAAACACAUUACAAGCUGUGAACCAUUCUUUUUAUCCCUCUUUUGAACUAUAUCCUUUUUGACCUUGAAAAUGCAACUCGAGGCAAAAAGCCUAAGUUGGGGGUGGUGAAGAUCAAUGGAAGUAAGUUUGGGGCCAUGAAGUUGUAAGUGAAAUGCCUGAGUUCCUAAGCGUUGAAAAUAAAUGAAUAGAAAAAGAAAGGGUUCAACAAAGUAUAGAAUUGCAUGAAAAUUGCUAGUAAAAGAAAUAGAAGAAAAUGGGUGAACAAAGGAAGCAAAAAUGUAGGCAUAUGAAAAGUGAGAGAACAAAGAAGAGUGGUCCAUAGUCAAAAAGUUGAAUUAAAUAGUGUGAUGUAGAUGUUCAAGGAAAGGUGUUGCCAUGUUUUUCUCAAAUGAUAUCCUACCCUAACCCAAACCUAUGUUACAAGCUUAAAAAGUCCUUUGAGAUCUUCAACAAUUUACUUUCUUUGUAGUGGCAAUUGAAAAUAGGGGUAAGCCUAUGGUAUGACACUUGUUGCAUAGAGAUUUAUUUUAUGAGGGAGAGAGUUUUUGCUCUUAAAGUUCCUUGUUGAAUAUUUUAUGGCUUGGUGUGGAAUUCUCUUUCUUGUGAGGUUAGCAUGUGAACAAGUUGAGGUGGGUGAUUUUGUCACCUCCCGAGCAAUGAGUCAAAUAGAGUAUAGCUUACUUAUGGUAAAAAGGGAGUUAAUUCUAGAGUAUUGGUUUUUU
rnacentral:lncRNA from 1 species